GUGUAAGAUCCCGAAGGAACCAGACGCAAAGGUUUAAAAUAGCACACUUGGAAACAAGAAUGAGUCUUCACGGUGUCUAUGAAAAGAAGAGACCAGAUUAAACUGCACCCAUUUGGAAGUCCCUGCAUCUGGCUGUAUCACUACAACUGGCUGCUGCAGCAUUUGAUGUUGUACUCUACAGAAUGAGGACAGCUUGAGUCUGCAUAAAAUUUUUGUCGUGAGUCCUCCAUAAAUGUUUCCAAGAUGGGAAACACAUCACCAAAGGAAAGUAACAUGGGCGACUCCCUGAAGUGCUGCAAGUGUUACAAAGUAUUGCCUCCCUGUAUGACCUUUGAUGAUUUCUACAAUGAUAUUGUCCAUGGGCGAAAUGUCUACGUCUACAAUAGAGGACAAUAUUACAAACCAGUUGGCUAUGAUGAUCAUUAUGAGUGUGGAAACUGCUUCCAUGAGCCAAUCAGGGAAGAACAAAGGAGAGAAGAGGAAAGAAGGAGAGAAGAGGAAAGAAGGAGAGAAGAGGAAAGAAGGAGAGAGGAGAGGAAAAAAAGAAAAGAAGAAGAGUUGAAUCGAAACUCCAAACAUCCCUCG